AUUGAACGCUGGCGGCAUGCUUUACACAUGCAAGUCGAGCGGCAGCGCGGGGGCAACCUUGGCGGCGAGCGGCGAACGGGUGAGUAAUGCAUCGGAACGUAUCCUGUAGUGGGGAAUAACUCACCGAAAGGUGAGCUAAUACCGCAUAAGCUCUGAGGAGGAAAGCGGGGGACCGAAAGGCCUCGCGCUGCAGGAGCGGCCGAUGUCCGAUUAGCUAGUUGGUGAGGUAAAGGCUCACCAAGGCGACGAUCGGUAGCUGGUCUGAGAGGAUGAUCAGCCACACUGGGACUGAGACACGGCCCAGACUCCUACGGAGGCAGCAGUGGGAAUUUUGGACAAUGGGGGAAACCCUGAUCCAGCCAUGCCGCGUGAGUGAAGAAGGCCUCGG
rnacentral:rRNA from 1 species